rnacentral:rRNA from 1 species
ACUCCUGCGGGAGGCAGCAGUGAGGAAUAUUGGACAAUGGGUGGAAGCCUGAUCCAGCCAUCCCGCGUGCAGGAAGACGGCCCUAUGGGUUGUAAACUGCUUUUAUCUGGGGAUAAACCUACUUACGUGUAAGUAGCUGAAGGUACCAGAAGAAUAAGCACCGGCUAACUCCAUGCCAGCAGCCGCGGUAAUACGGAGGGUGCAAGCGUUAUCCGGAUUUAUUGGGUUUAAAGGGUCCGUAGGCGGACUGAUAAGUCAGUGGUGAAAUCCGACAGCUUAACUGUCGAACUGCCAUUGAUACUGUUAGUCUUGAGUAAGGUUGAAGUGGCUGGAAUAAGUAGUGUAGCGGUGAAAUGCAUAGAUAUUACUUAGAACACCAAUUGCGAAGGCAGGUCACUAAGUCUUAACUGACGCUGAUGGACGAAAGCGUGGGGAGCGAACAGGAUUAGAAACCCUGGUAGUCCCAUG